rnacentral:rRNA from 1 species
GAUGAACGCUAGCGGCAGGCUUAAUACAUGCAAGUUGAGGGGCAGCAUGAUAUACGCGAGUAUAUUGAUGGCGACCGGCGGACGGGUGAGUAAUAGGUAGGAGACCUACCUCAUACAGGGGGAUAGCAUAGAGAAAUCUGUGGUAAUACCCCAUGAGGUUAUAUGAAUAGAGGCAUAUAAUCAAAGCAUAAGCGAUUAUGCGGUAUGAGAGGGGCCUACUGACCAUUAGCUAGUUGGUGAGGUAAGGGCUCACCAAGGCGAAGAUGGUUAGGGGUUUUGAGAGAGAGACCCCCCCACAUUGGAACUGAGAGACGGUCCAGACUCCUACGGGAGGCAGCAGUAGGGAAUAUUGGGCAAUGGGCGAAAGCCUGACCCAGCCAUGCCGCGUGAAGGAAGACGGCCUUAUGGGUUGUAAACUUCUUUACUACGCGAAUAGAGGUUAGUACGAGAUACUAAUAGGGAAGGUAGUGUAGUAAAAGCACCGGCUAACUCGUGCC